CUCUUUUUUUUUUGUAUUUUUUUACUUUGAUUUUUUGUAAAAUGUUGCAGGUUUUUGGGUUUUUGGAAGAGUUUUAAGAUUUGGUUUUUGAACUGGAUUAGUACCCAGGUAAUCAAAAUUUAUUAGUGCGGGAGUAAAGUUUUGUUUAAACCGAAAAAAUAUUGACUGACUUUGGAUUUUUCUUUGGAACAUGUAGUUUACGGAAGGCCCUCUUUAUUUGUUGAUCCUAUGGGCGCAUGUAUGAUUGUUUAGUUUUUAUUUUUUCUUGUGAUGCUUUUUUCUUUUUGUGUUGAAAAAUAGAUAGAUACUUGGUUAAUGGAUUUUGUUUUUAUGUGUUACUAUUAUGAAUUUUUUUUGGAUAUUUUUUUAAUAUUUUAUUGAAGUUGGAAAAGAAAGUAAUUUUUUUUUGAU
rnacentral:rRNA from 1 species